CAGCCCGGGCCCAGCAGGGUCCCCGUUCCGCUCCCAGCCCUCCCAGCCACCUCCCCCGAGGGCUGGGGCCGUGGGCCUGGCCAGCCCCUCCAGUGGGCAUCUGGAUCCACUGCCCUGAGAGGAGGGGGAAGGGCCGGGGACCCGGCUCAGAUGCAGGGCCUGUGGCUGACUGGCAGGGCACUCUUGAGGAUGUGACACCUUCUCCGGGCCGGUUGCUACCUGUGAGCCUCGCGGGGGUGAGCAGCGUAGCGCCGUGCCUGGCACAGGAAGUGCUCUGAGGAGCGGGCUGCGUGACUGGGAGGCUGGGGUCUAAGAGGUCACGGCCAGGAGGGAAACAGAUGCGAACCCCACAGUGUGACUGGUGGAAGGAAACAAAGCGGGAGAGAGGAGUCUGGCCUGGGAUAUCCUGGAAAGCUGCAUGGAAGAGAAGCCAUCUGAGCUGGCCUGGAGCACGCCCCCCAAUGGAAGCCGCAGGGUCAGCCCCAGGGAGAGCUGAGGGGACCAGCCCCCGGAAGGCUGCAGCAGGCGAGGCUUCACACCUUCCUUGUUCCGGCUGUCUGUGCUGUGGCCCAGCUCAUCUCUCCAUGUGAGGUGGGCUCUCGGCGAGAGGAACCAAGUUCUUGGCCCCUGACAUCUCACCCCUCGGUUCUCUGGGCUGGCAUCUGACCUGAUCGUGUGAUCUGACUAUAAAGAAAUCUUCGGAAUUGAAGCGGGGGGCGGGGGGUGGAGGGGUUGUUUUUGUUUGUUUUGGAGAGUGGAUGGAAUGAAAAUUGGAGUGAAAUAAAAACUGAGGCAAGGAUAUGAGAAGGAAAAACAAGCUCCAUUCUUACAGAAGACUGUCUACUUUUGAGCAGGCCGCAUUAGUAUUCCAGGCAGCGGAGUCAGGACCACACAAAGUCAGAGCUGGAAGGGACUGACACGAUCCAGUCCAACCGCAUUUUAGGGAAGGAAACGGAGGUGAGGAGACGCCGUGGACUUGCCCGGUCCCACGGGGAGAGCGGGAAGCGUGGAGCAGAGGCCUGUCCUCCUGUUCUUCACCCGGGCUGCUUCCACACCGCCCCUCAGCCGUCCCCGCCACCGGCCCAUUCCUUCUGGAUGGGGCCCUGGGUGGGUGAGCAGCCCCGGGGCAGCCCGAUGGGGCAGGUCAAAGUCAAGUGCGUCCAGACUGAAGAAUAAAGCACACCCCAUCCCAGCGGCACUCCCGCUGUGCAGCGAGGUCAGACCUCCUGUGGGGUUUUAGAUGUUCUGGAAUCAGACAGAGCUGACUUCCAGUUCUGGCUCCUGGCAGUGUGACCUUGGG